UUAUAUCCCAGCAAGUGGGUUGACUGCAUGAACAUUUUUGUGGAUAUGUUCGCACAUAACAUGGAUAUAAACUAAUUUCUCUUAUAAAGACUUCCCUUCCUUCCAGUAGAUAGCCCUCAUGGGUUUUGCCGUAAUCAAGAUGAUGUAAGGAAAAGACCACCAGUAAUAAUCAUUGUGCUACUAGAUCCAGAUUAUGAAUCUACGAUAGAUCCGCACUGGGUAAAUCUUGAUAGAAUAGUUUCUUCAGUACAACUCAAAGCCCCAGAAUUUAGAAGGAAGAGCUUUGUUACAAAAAAGAUGCUCUAAGUUCUCGUACUUAACUAUUUUUAACUGCAUGACUAGUACUGAAAACUAUUAUCACAUAGGUAAGGAUUUUUAUUUUGAAAGACCUUUUUGUAAAAUGAUGAAAUUCUAUGAAAAUAUAUAGAAGCAAUUAAUGUAAGACUGCACAUGAGAAUGCACAUCAAUAAAAUUAUUUUACCAAA